rnacentral:rRNA from 1 species
AGGAUAAACGCUGGCGGCGUGCCUAACACAUGCAAGUCGAACGCGCUUACUAUCCGCAAGGAGGGUGAGCGAGUGGCGGACGGGUGAGGAACACGUGGGUGACCUACCUUUCAGUGAGGGAUACCGGCGAGAAAUUGCCGACAAGACCGCAUACGCUUCUCUUUUCAAGGGGAGAAGGAAAGCUUUUCGCAAGAGAGGCGCUGGGAGAUGGGCCUGCGGCCGAUUAGCUAGCUGGUGGGGUAAUGGCCUACCAGGGCGACGAUCGGUAGCUGGUCUGAGAGGACGAUCAGCCACACUGGGAUUGAGAACGGCCCAGACUCCUACGGGGGGCAGCAGUGAGGAAUUUUCGGCAAUGGGGGCAACCCUGACCGAGCAACGCCGCGUGCAGGACGACGGCCUUCGGGUUGUAAACUGCUUUUCUCUGGGACGAGAGCGGACGGUACCAGAGGAAGAAGCCCGGCUAACUACGCGCCAGCAGCCGCGGU